GUGUCUGUUGUUUGUCUGCGUGUCUGCUGUUUGUCUGCGUGUCUGUUGUGUGUCUGCUGUUUGUUUGCGUCUCGUUGUAUUUAAGUUACACAGCACGUGUGGCCCCUGUUGUUUGCGCGUCGCCAUGUGUCCGUCAUCUGAACGGCAGGUCACGUGAUCUGUAGCACCUGAAAAGACCGUGAAAGCAACACAGAUGGAAGAGCUCAAUUGUUUUUCAUUUUAAUAUAUUUACAAAAAAAUCACACAUAAAAAUGUUUAUUUAUUUAAUAAACAUGUAUUUGUAUUUUUACUGCUUAUUCUUAUAAUGAUAUAUGCAACAUGUGUGUUGUUCCCACUGUCCAGACGUUACAAACAAUGAAAUACAGAAUGAGCAGUGCUUUUACCACUGCGGACCACCGUGCCAGUAAUCAUCUAUCUCAUAACUUCUUAUAGUUAUAUAUGCAAUAUGUGUGUUAUUCUAAUUGUUUAGAUGUUACGAUGACAAAUGCAGCCGUUACGCAUAAUCAAACACAAAGAAAUGGUAGAAUAAGCAGCGCUUUUACCGUCCAUUCAUUGCGGACCACAAGCGAAACCCAUGUUGCACAUGCGCACUUAUUCUACAACACGUACGUCAAAAAGCACUGCUGUGCCUUUGCACGUAAAUAGGUUAUGCCAGUAAUCCACGUUACGAAUCAAACACGGACCAAUUAAAAUCGAGAUAUUACCGGACAUUUGCGCAGCUGACUCUCUGAAAUCCCUGCAAGCGUUGUCUUUCUUUCCCAGGUGUUGUGGAUCCAAAUACAUUUUCUGACGGCUACAAAACGUGCAGACUGGUGGAAAAUGCUCAAAUAGGAUGCACUGGAGUAGGGAAAAGAGGAGAACUCCGGGGGAUGAACAGCGGCCCCCCUCACCGGGUUUCUGCAGCCAGAUUGAAGUCACAGACUAAUCAUUUUUGGAGGAAAAGAAAACAUUAAAAAUAUUUGAUACAGUUGA